GACGAACGCUGGCGGCGUGCUUAACACAUGCAAGUCGAACGAGACGAUUGAAAGCUUGCUUUUGAAAGUCGAGUGGCAAACGGGUGAGUAACGCGUAGACAACCUGCCGCAAAGAUGGGGACAACAGUCCGAAAGGACUGCUAAUACCGAAUGUUGUCAUUUCUCCGCAUGGAGAGAUGAUUAAAGAUGGCCUCUACUUGUAAGCUAUCGCUUUGCGACGGGUCUGCGUCUGAUUAGCUGGUUGGUGGGGUAACGGCCUACCAAGGCGACGAUCAGUAGCCGGUCUGAGAGGAUGAACGGCCACAUUGGAACUGAGACACGGUCCAGACUCC
rnacentral:rRNA from 1 species